GUAGGGGGCGAGCGUUUAUCCGGAAUUACUGGGCGUAAAGGGCGUCUAGGCGGCAGCCUAAGUCCCAUGUGAAAGCUCCCGGCUCAACUGGGAGAGGGCAUGGGAAACUGGGUCGCUAGAGACUCAGAGGGGGGUGUGGAAUUCCCGGUGGAGUGGUGAAAUGCGUUGAGAUCGGGAGGAACACCAGUAGCGAAGGCGGCACCCUGGCUGAGAUCUGACGCUGAAGCGCGACAGCGUGGGGAGCGAACGGGGAUUAGAUACCCCGGUAGUCCACGCCGUAAACGAUGACAACUAGGUGUUGGGUGUCCCAAGGACGUUCAGCGCCGCAGCAAACGCGAUAAGUUGUCCGCCUGGGGGAGUACGGCCGCAAGGCUA
rnacentral:rRNA from 1 species